UACGUAGGGGGCAAGCGUUGUCCGGAUUUAUUGGGCGUAAAGAGCGUGUAGGCGGCUUUACAGGUCCGUUGUGAAAACUCGAGGCUCAACCUCGAGACGCCGGUGGAAACCGUAAAGCUAGAGUCCGGAAGAGGAGAGUGGAAUUCCUGGUGUAGCGGUGAAAUGCGCAGAUAUCAGGAGGAACACCCGUGGCGAAAGCGGCUCUCUAGUACGGUACUGACGCUGAGACGCGAAAGCGUGGGGAGCGAACAGG
rnacentral:rRNA from 1 species